rnacentral:rRNA from 1 species
GGGGGAAAGAUUUAUCGCCUUUAGAGCGGCCCGCGUCUGAUUAGCUAGUUGGUGAGGUAAAGGCUCACCAAGGCGACGAUCAGUAGCUGGUCUGAGAGGAUGAUCAGCCACAUUGGGACUGAGACACGGCCCAAACUCCUACGGGAGGCAGCAGUGGGGAAUCUUGCGCAAUGGGCGAAAGCCUGACGCAGCCAUGCCGCGUGAAUGAUGAAGGUCUUAGGAUUGUAAAAUUCUUUCACCGGGGACGAUAAUGACGGUACCCGGAGAAGAAGCCCCGGCUAACUUCGUGCCAGCAGCCGCGGUAAUACGAAGGGGGCUAGCGUUGCUCGGAAUUACUGGGCGUAAAGGGAGCGUAGGCGGACAUUUAAGUCAGGGGUGAAAUCCCGGGGCUCAACCUCGGAAUUGCCUUUGAUACUGGGUGUCUUGAGUAUGAGAGAGGUAUGUGGAACUCCGAGUGUAGAGGUGAAAUUCGUAGAUAUUCGGAAGAACACCAGUGGCGAAGGCGACAUACUGGCUCAUUACUGACGCUGAGGCUCGAAAGCGUGGGGAGCAAACAGGAUUAGAUACCCUGGUAGUCCACGCCGUAAACGAUGAUUGCUAGUUGUCGGGAU